rnacentral:rRNA from 1 species
CGGACGUUACGAGACGAGCUAGUUGGUGUCCUUGCUGAUGAGCUCAAGGGCGGUGGCAGUGGUGGGCAGCGCCGGGAUGGCUCCCUUCUUGGUGGUGCAGAUGGCCCCGCAAGCGUUGGAGAACUGGAGCACCUCCCUCAGCUUGGCCUCAUUCUGACCAAUCAAAAAGAAAACAACAUCAUUAGCAACUACUCACAAAAGAUGGAGUCGUCCUUGGCGACGUUGAGUAGGAGGGAUCCAACAAAGGCAUCGCCGGCGCCGGUGGUGUCGACGGUGUUAACGGAGUACCCUGGCAGGGAGCCCUUGAAGUCCUUGGUGAAGUACCUACAUCCCUUCUCGCCGUCGGUGACGACCAGCAGCUUGAGGCCGUCGAACCAGAGCGAGAGGACGUUCUUCUCGUCGUGGGCGUCGCCCUGCGUGAGGAAGGCCACCUCCUCGUCGCUCACCUUGAUGAAGUCGGCCUCCUUCCAAAUGCUCAUGAUGCCGUCACGUGCGGCCUGGGCGGAGGGCCAGAGCGGGAGGCGCACGUUGGGGUCGUAG